CCUACGGGUGGCAGCAGUGGGGAAUAUUGCACAAUGGGCGAAACCCUGAUGCAGCAACGCCGCGUGAAGGAAGACGGUUUUCGGCUUGUAAACUUCUAUCAACAGGGACGAAAGAAAUGACGGUACCUGAAUAAGAAGCCCCGGCUAACUACGUGCCAGCAGCCGCGGUAAUACGUAGGGGGCAAGCGUUAUCCGGAAUUACUGGGUGUAAAGGGAGAGUAGGCGGCAAGGUACGCGAGAUGUGAAAGCCUUAGGCUUAACCCGAGGAUUGCAUUAGGAACUAUAGAGCUAGAGUACAGGAGAGGAAAGCGGAAUUCCUAGGGUAGCGGUGAAAUGCGUAGAUAUGAGGAAGAACACCAGUGGCGAAGGCGGCUUUCUGGACUGAAACUGACGCUGAGGCACGAAAGCGUGGGGAGCGAACAGGAUUAGAUACCCUUGUAGUC
rnacentral:rRNA from 1 species